rnacentral:rRNA from 1 species
GACGAACGCUGGCGGCGUGCCUAAUACAUGCAAGUUGAGCGAUGAAGGUUGGUGCUUGCCCCAAUUUGAAGAGCAGCGAACGGGUGAGUAACGCGUGGGGAAUCUGCCUUUGAGCGGGGGACAACAUUUGGAAACGAAUGCUAAUACCGCAUAACAACUUUAAACAUAAGUUUUAAGUUUGAAAGAUGCAAUUGCAUCACUCAAAGAUGAUCCCGCGUUGUAUUAGCUAGUUGGUGAGGUAAAGGCUCACCAAGGCGAUGAUACAUAGCCGACCUGAGAGGGUGAUCGGCCACAUUGGGACUGAGACACGGCCCAAACUCCUACGGGAGGCAGCAGUAGGGAAUCUUCGGCAAUGGACGAAAGUCUGACCGAGCAACGCCGCGUGAGUGAAGAAGGUUUUCGGAUCGUAAAACUCUGUUGGUAGAGAAGAACGUUGGUGAGAGUGGAAAGCUCAUCAAGUGACGGUAACUACCCAGAAAGGGACGGCUAACUACGUG